UUUUUUUCUAGAGAGAUGACUAGUUACAGAGGAGGAGGCUUGCUGGUUCCAGGGAUCUAGGAGGAGAACGGACUGGAGAAGGAGAGCACGGAGGAAGAAAGUUGCUACAAGCGAGCUUGAGGUGGGUCUUUUGCCCCGUUUGAUUCAUUUUCUUCUCAUCUCUUCCUCAUUUUGGGUUUGCUUGGCAUUGCUUAUCAAUUUGGGUUAGAUUACACGUUGUAUUUCAUUGAUUUUCUGGAUCAUUUUCUUGUUGUUGAUUGUUGAUAUUGCUGAUUAUCAUAGCACUCUCGCCAUGACACCUUCGUCGUUCAUCACCACCUCCCUAGCCAUGGCCACUUUUACUACUCAUCAAACCAGCCCACUACCCAUUCCAUGAAUCCUAUGCACCCAUCCUACACCCAACAAACCCCAUGAAUCA
rnacentral:lncRNA from 1 species